ensembl:snRNA U6 U6 spliceosomal RNA
AUACUCACUUCAACAGCACAUAUACUGAUAUUGGAAUGAUAGAGAGAAGGUUAGCAUGGCUCCUAUGCAAGAAUGACACAUAAAUUUGUGAAGUGUUCCAUGUUUCU